GUUUAGUCCAGGUGAUGUGAUGAAGCAGUCUCUUCUCUUAAAUGUCAGCAGAUCAAACAACACCUGGGAGGAGAGCAGCAGGUGUCACAUGUCAUCAGGUCCAGGUAGCUGAGGGACUAAACAGAUCCACGUGACUCGUUGGUCUGUGACUCCAGCCUGCACCCAUCAGUUUUCUAUCAACUGACCUCAAAUAAUAGAGGAAAACAAUCAAUCACAUGACUAAAAUACCACAGCUCCAGUUUACCUGUGUGUUGUAAUAAUAGGUAAGGUUGGGUACAGUAGGAUUUAUUAUUUUACAGGGUUGAAAGGUUUAAUAAACAUGACUAAAAUCUGGAAAGCCUGGAGAAGAUGACCUGAUCAGACAUGUUACUGCAGACAAACAAGAAGGUCAGAACCAGUUUUGUCAGAUGAGUUUGAGGAAGGAUGGGAUCAGACAUGAACAUCUGUCCUGACCAGACCAAACGCUGCUGUUCUCAUCAGCAGGAGAAACGUGCAGGUUUCCUGGUGCAGCUGGGUUGUGGGUAAUGCCACGCCUGCAGGUUUUAUCCUGGGAAAUAAACAGCACAAAGUUAAAAGAACACUGAAGGAGAUCAGUCCAGCUGAAAUGUCUUCAGAGUCAGAGGAGAACCUCUGUGUUCUGCACGCUGAGAAGCUCAAACUGUUCUGUUUGGAUCAUCAGGAGCCGGUCUGCCGAGACUCAAAGGACCACAGCAAGCACAGGUUCAGACCCGUCAACGAGGCCUCGCAGGACCACAAAACCAAGCUGUGGAGCCUAAUGAGACCCUUACAGGAGAAAGUGAUGGUCUUAGACGCUAAAGGCAAACGUGAUGAAGCAGCGCAGCACCUUCAGGCAGUGCUGGACUGGCCAUCGGGCAUAGCGGGCACUUUCCCGGUGGGCCGUUGGUGAUUUUUGGCCGGGCGGUCCUGUCAUGAACCAAAAAAAUAAAGUAUAACUAUUUUUUGUCAACCGU